GUGUUAUGAUUGGAAGCUAAAUUGAAUUUAAAAUGAGCAUAAAAUGCGCGCCACCAAGGAAAACAAACUUAGGUCAACCUUCAAACCAACACCGCCGUGAUCCAUCGUGCCUAAAAUCGUUUAUGGAGACGGUGGCCACCAAAAUUAAAAAAUGACCACAUCACCAGCUCCGUCUCAAUCACCUGAUCACGAAUCCACCCUUGAUUUUACCUAAUUCUUACCCUAACACCAAAACCGAAUCUAAAGCUCAAAGAACCCUAAAAGUUCAAUCCUAAAUUAAAUCUUACACGUGAGGAUUCAAAGCCCCCGGGGUUGGGGCUUUGAACCUCCUCUUCGUCCUCUACAUCUCAGUAACUGGAAAUGAAGAAAUGGAAGAUCUUGGAACUUACCAUGGACGGAGGAGGAUGAAGAUGAUGACGAACACCGGUGAACUCCUAUUUCUAGGGUCAACUUGUAACAUUGUUUAUGUGUUGUUCUGAACUUGGUCAUGGUGUGCUAUUAUGUUUUGGAGAAUGGCUUGGUGGAUUACAAGCUUGUGGCUUCACUGACUUGUAGAUGCAAAUUGGUUUGCCUUUUGCAUCAUGGAUCCAAUGGACUGCAUUGUGUAGGUCUUGUUUGGUGUGCUACAAUUGUUUUGUAUUCAUGCCUUGCAGAUAGGUUCUGACUUGGACUUGCAUUAUGGUGGCUUAGUUUCAAAGCAUGUUGAUGUGCAAGUAUGAUGCAUGGUUAUGGCUUAUGGUUUCACUGCAUUUUCAUUGUUUUGGCUUUAGUUCACAACAUGGUUCACUUGGUAGCUAGUUUGUGUUCUACAGUAGGCAUUGUGUUAUAUAAAACUGUGCAUUUGGUUUCACUUUGGAUUGUUUUCUGCAAUCCCUGUUUGGUAUGCAUUUUGCAGGGUCUUUUUGGCUUGUACAUGAUAAUGCUUCCUUAUUCAGGUCCUUGGUUUUGCUUCUUGAAACAUAUGUAUCAUAUGGCUCAUGUAUCAUAUGUAUGUCAUAGUUCCAUGGAGGCUUAUGGCAUGCUGGUUGGACAAUGCAAAUGACAUUAAGGUUGGAAUUUGAAGCAACAUGUACAAUUGGUCAAUCAAAGGUCAACAUGGAACAUGGAAAUUUAGGGUUAGAAUUAGGGAUUGGGAAUUUAGGUUUUUUAGGAUUGGGUUGACUUUGGUCAAAGUUGACCAAAAAGUCUACUGUUGACCAAAGUUAACAUUUGGUUAAAGUUCAUUUUUUUUGUAUUUUCCUCAUGUAAUGGGUUGUAAUGAAUGGAAUUUGCUACUCUUGAAUGAAAUAAGAUUAGUAUUUGAAUUGAAUCUUCUAUGACUUGAAUAAAUUGUAUGAA